GUCCAACUAUCGAGUUCCAGAUAGGACGAAACGCGCGUCCUGGAU
rnacentral:hammerhead_ribozyme from 1 species